AUGUGCUGUGAUCAGGAGAAGAACAGGGAGGAACAAAAAGCAACGAAGCUCUUUUGCUCCUGUACAGCGAGGCCCGGGCUUUCUUUUGUCUUUUUUCUGCUUUUAGUCAAAAAGGCCCAACAAGGACAAUCAAAACAAACAACCCAAAAAGGCCCACAACCUACAAAUAACAACAGAACAAAGGGCCUGGAUUGUAUUCGGCCCAAUAGGGCUUUGUGCGGGGGAGAAAGGAGCCUGGCUCGGGCGUGGCAGGUGAUCGGGCUGAGACAAAUAGAUUCGACUGAGACCAAUCUAUUUCUCAGUCGAAUGAGUUCCAGGCGCUCCCUUAAAAAAAUGAUUUUUUUGGGACAAAUCUACAGAAACAAAAGACCUUUUCACUUCAAAUCGAGUCAAACUACUUCAAUUACAUUGGGGUGGGUCUAA
rnacentral:rRNA from 1 species